ensembl:lncRNA
GGGUAGGACAUGUGUGUGAAAUAUUUUGUUCAGCUGUUAACAUUUUUCAGUGCCCUUGUGCCAUAUGGAUUAAAUUGUUCAGAGUCAUGUAGCAACACUACUCUCAACAUUUGGCUGGGCUCGGAGGUCUUGCUCCCAUGCAGCCUUUUGAAAAGUGGAAAAACCGAAGAAGUCAGGUGGAGCCAAACUUCCAGCCUUCUGAGCAUCGGGUCUUCUGGAAAUGUCACCUUUGAGGAUCCUAGGGAUGGCAGAUUGACAGCAUUCCCCUUCCUGUUUGGCAGAGGAAACUUUUCCAUCCUCGUUCAUCAGUUUCAGGCCUCUGACCUGGGCAUCUACUGCUGUCAGCUGAGCCACGAGUGCCAGAGAGUCGAAAUAAAGCUCUCGCAAAGUUCAGAAAGUCACAAAGGAGGCUUAAAUUUCCCAUGGUACUACAUUGUUGCUGGAGUUGGAAUAUUUAUUCUGCUUGUGACUGUAUUUUGUCUUAUCUACAAAUUCAGAGGAAAGUGUCUAAACAGUGCAUCUGAUUCUUAUUACGUCAACCAAGAACAAAGGGAGGGAGAACAUAGAGAUCGUGUUGACCGCACCAAGGUUGAUGAGUGUGAUGGUGAGUAUGAAGACAUAGAGAGUGAUACACAAGGGGCGGAUUAUGAAAACGCAUCAGGAGAAGAUACAAUGAGGGAAGAGCAGGACGAGGAUUAUGUAAACACUGAGAGAAGAAAUGGUCAUGAUCAGUAUUAUGAUACUGACAGAGAGUGCCCUGCUGAACACCAUGUGGAGAGAGAUAUGCAAGGUUACCAUGACAAUGAUGUCUAUGGUGACUGAAACUCAUCAUCAGCAGCAGCAGCUUUCAGAAAAAUGCCAAAUCAGCAGCCGGGUUCAGUAGGACUGUACUAUGCCAAUCAGUCAGAGAUAGACAAGUCUCGCUGUGCUAGGAACAGAAACAAAGACAAAGCAGAAUAUCAGUUCAAAAAUCCAUUAUAUGACCGAACUCCAGCAAACAAUAAAUAAACAGUCAUCUUCCAACUCACUGAAAACAUGCCUGUUUAAGUUUAUGUACUGUAAUAUUCUGUAAUGGUAUUGUUCCACUGGAUUUGUGACUUAGGAAAUAGUGAAAAUGGGUACAUGGUUCUGGUUUAUACUGCAUAAAGAUGUCUGAGGUCGUGUAUCAGUGUGAUUUCUUUCAUUGUUUAUCAGGCUUAAUCAUCAUCAGUUAUAUACUUUUGAGAUAUUUUUUCUUGUGAAGAUAAAUCAAUAAAUAGGUCCUUAACUCUUUCUUUUGAGUCUGAUUAUUUUGUGCUGAGUUUCUGAUUAAUGCAGUAUUUAUGAAGCUAAAAAUCUUUCCUCCUAGGCUCGUUUUUAGAUCUAUGAGGCCUUCUGUCUUCAGCAUGUGCGUCUGCUAGAGAGAGAAUGUUCUUCA